GAUGAGAACGCAGCGAAAUGCGAUAAGUAAUGUGAAUUGCAGAAUUCAGUGAAUCAUCGAAUCUUUGAACGCACCUUGCGCUCCUUGGUAUUCCGAGGAGCAUGCCUGUUUGAGUGUCAUUAAAUUCUCAACCAUUAUCAACUUUUGCUGAUAAUGGCUUGGAUGUGGGGGUCUAUUUUGCUGGCUUCUCAGAUAGUCAGCUCCCCUUAAAUGCAUUAGCCGGUGCCCCGCGUGGACUGUCUAUUGGUGUGAUAAUUAUCUACGCUAUGGACAUCUGCAAUCAUAUGGGUUUGCGCUGCUUCUAACAGUCUGUUGAUUCAGACAAUACAUGACAAUUUGACCUCAAAUCAGGUAGGACUACCCGCUGAACUUAAGCAUAUCAAUAAGCGGAGGA
rnacentral:misc_RNA from 1 species